GUAUAUAAAGCAAGGUUGAAGAUGAUGUUGUAUACCAAAAUGGAGUCUUCAAGAAAAUAUUCUCUGACAUUGGCAUUCUUAUUGGCUUUUUUUAUCAUUUCUUCAGAUAUGAUGAUGAAAUCUGAGGCAGAAUUGUCAGAGAUUACAGAUGCGCGUUGUAGCAAAGACUCAGAUUGUAAAAAAUAUUGUCCAAAAUGUGUUUCAUGCAAUUGUAUGAAAAACAUAUGUUUCUGCGAAAAUCCACCUUUACCCGAUGAUACUCCACCAUUCUGAUUAUGCUGAGAUUGUGAUGUAAUCGAUAUCAAUUAAAAUAACUUUUCAUUGAUCUUUCUUCGUU